rnacentral:misc_RNA from 1 species
UCAAACUUGGUCAUUUAGAGGAAGUAAAAGUCGUAACAAGGUUUCCGUAGGUGAACCUGCGGAAGGAUCAUUACCGAGUGUUGCGGGCCCCUCUCCGGGGGGGUCCCACCUCCCAUCCUUGUCUAUCUCUACCCUGUUGCUUCGGCGGGCCCGCCUGCGUUCCCCGUUAAGAUCCUUAGCGGGGGCCAGGCCGCCGGGGGGCCCCGCGCCCCCGGGCCCGUGCCCGCCGGGGACUCCCACUUGGAACGCUGUCUGAAGGUUGCAGUCUGAGUCCUUUUUGGAAAAAUCGUUAAAACUUUCAACAACGGAUCUCUUGGUUCCGGCAUCGAUGAAGAACGCAGC